GAUGAAGAACGUAGCGAAAUGCGAUAAGUAGUGUGAAUUGCAGAAUUCAGUGAAUCAUCGAAUCUUUGAACGCACAUUGCGCCCCUUGGUAUUCCAUGGGGCAUGCCUGUUCGAGCGUCAUUUGUACCUUCAAGCUCUGCUUGGUGUUGGGUGUUUGUCUCGCCUCUGCGUGUAGACUCGCCUCAAAACAAUUGGCAGCCGGCGUAUUGAUUUCGGAGCGCAGUACAUCUCGCGCUUUGCACUCAUAACGACGACGUCCAAAAGUACAUUUUUACACUCUUGACCUCGGAUCAGGUAGGGAUACCCGCUGAACUUAAGCAUAUCAAUAAGGGGAGGA
rnacentral:misc_RNA from 1 species